rnacentral:misc_RNA from 1 species
GAUGAAGAACGUAGCGAAAUGCGAUACUUGGUGUGAAUUGCAGAAUCCCGUGAACCAUCGAGUCUUUGAACGCAAGUUGCGCCCGAAGCCGUCAGGCCGAGGGCACGCCUGCCUGGGCGUCACACGCCGUUGCCCCCCCGCGCCCCGCACCCAACUCUUUGGGAGCGACCGCGGGGCGGGCUGAUGAUGGCCUCCCGUGCGCUCCGCCGCGCGGUUGGCCCAAAUACCGAGUCCCCGGCGACGUGCGCCACGACGAUCGGUGGUUGAGAGACCUCUGUCGCAAGUCGUGCGCGCCCGUCGCGUCACGCGGGCUCGCAUAGCGCCUCGCGCCGCACCCGGUGCGGAGCUUUCAACGCGACCCCAGGUCAGGCGGGGUUACCCGCUGAAUUUAAGCAUAUCAAUAAGGGAGGA